rnacentral:rRNA from 1 species
GAUGAACGCUAGCUACAGGCUUAACACAUGCAAGUCGAGGGGAAACGACAUCGAAAGCUUGCUUUUGAUGGGCGUCGACCGGCGCACGGGUGAGUAACGCGUAUCCAACCUGCCCAUCACUUGGGAAUAACCUUGCGAAAGUAAGACUAAUACCCAAUGAUAUCCCACGAAGGCAUCGGAAUGGGAUUAAAGAUUUAUCGGUGAUGGAUGGGGAUGCGUCUGAUUAGCUUGUUGGCGGGGUAACGGCCCACCAAGGCAACGAUCAGUAGGGGUUCUGAGAGGAAGGUCCCCCACAUUGGAACUGGGACACCGUCCAAACUCCUACGGGAGGCAGCAGUGAGGAAUAUUGGUCAAUGGGCGAGAGCCUGAACCAGCCAAGUAGCGUGCAGGAAGACGGCCCUAUGGGUUGUAAACUGCUUUUAUAAGGGAAUAAAGUGGGUCACGUGUGACUUUUUGCAUGUACCUUAUGAAUAAGGACCGGCUAAUUCCGUG